CUCUCACAGUUCUGGAAGCCGGAAUUCUGAAAUCAAUAAGUUGCCAGGGCCGUGCUGUCUCUGAAGGUUCUGGAGAAGAAUUCUUCCUUGCCUCUUCCUGGCUUCUGGUGGCUGCUGGCAAUCGUUGGCAUUCCUCGGCUUGUAACUGCGUCACUGUAAUAUCUACCUUCGCCUUGACGUGGCUCUCUUCCCUCUGGGUGUGUCUCUCUGUCCCCAAAUCUCCCUUUCCUUAUAGUGAAUGCAGUCUUAGGCUUUAGGUCCAGUCAAUCCAGUAUGACCUCAUCUCAACUUGAUUCCACCUUCCGGACCCAAUUUCCAAAUAAGGUCACGUUCAUAGGUACCGCAGGUUAGGACUUCAACAUGCCUUUUUAGGGAACAUAACUCAACAACCACUACAGAGUAUUAUCAAAUAAUCCGUGGAAUUUCAACACUGAUUUCCAGAUCGUCUACUAAAGGAAAGGGUGAGGUAAAGAACCUUGGAUAUUUUUCAGUCAGGUCCUCCAAGUUGGAAUGCUUAGCAUCCAAACAACGUGCAGAUGCCUACUGUGAAACAACACGCCUCCUGACCACAAACACCACUGGGAAGAAAGAAAAGAGAGUUUUUCCACAUUGGCAAAUGACUUUGGUACAAAGAAUGUGUGAAAGCAAAGAGAUUCUUUCCCCUGGGCUUCAUCACUGCAAAUAUGUACUGUCAGGUAGAUUGGCUCUUAGGUCUAAAAUAUAAGACCCUUUGAGCAGAGCGGCUAUAUACAGCAAGUGCAAAAGAUGGAGAAACAAAGCAAAACAGAAACCGAAGCAUAGUUCAGCCUAAGGUUCCUCAAGCAAACAUCAUGUUACACUGCAAAGCUUUUGUUCACUAGACAAGUAAAGAAGUUCAGGCAUAGAAGUCUUAAACAUGAAGUUGGUUUAAGCAACUUGGUUACCACACGACCAGCUGAAUUUAAAGACCAGUGUGAGUUUAGAAAGAGAGCCACAAAGGAAACUGGAAGUGAGGUACUGUCCACCCAGCCAGCCAUAUGUGUUCAACAUCUCAUGGAAAGACGGUGAUAUAUGACAGCUAAUUCCCCCCUCACUUUAAAAAUAAAACCUUAGAUUUCAUUCUUUUAAA
rnacentral:lncRNA from 1 species